CUGGGAUUACAGGCAUGAGUCACCACACCUGGCCCACAGUGGUCCUUAUAAGAGGCGGUGGGUGGGGCAAGAAGAAACGUGACAUGUGAGGCUGGAAGCAGAGGGUGGAAUGCAUGCUUUGAAGGUGGAGCCACCUGCUUUGUAGGGGUCCUGUAGCAUCUGGAAAAGACAAGGACUCAGAUUCUCCCUCAGAACCCCCUGGAGGAACCAAGCUCUACUGACACCUUGAUUUUAGACGUCGGACCUCUGGAACGAUAACCUGCAGUAGGCUAAAUGGCAGCCCCCAGAGAGAUAAGAGAAGCAGAGACCAGGACAGAGAGAAGAGGAAGGUAAGAAGACGGAGGCAGAGACCGGAGUGAUGCGGCCACAAGCCAAGGAACGCCAGAGCUACUAGAAGGUGGAAGAGACAAGACACACAUCUUCCCUAGUGUGCCUGGAGGGAGGGCAGCCCUGCUAGAUUUACAACUUCUGGCCACCAGAACUUUGAAAUGAAUCUGCUGUGUUAAGCCCUGUAGUCUGUGAUAAUUUGUUAUAGCAGUCCCAGGAAGAAAAGAUAUAACCAGACUUCCCUUAUACCUAUUAGAAGCAUGAAAUGCACAGGUACAUGAGAAAACAACUUUGGUAGACCUGUGUAUGUUGGCAAACACAAAUAAUCCAUUCAUUCCAGAUACUUACUGAGCAUCUAUUAGGUGACAGACACAGUUCUAGGUGCUGAGGAUAUAGUCAGCAGAGAACACAACAAAGAUGCGUGCCCGCCUGGAGCUGACAUUUCA
rnacentral:lncRNA from 10 species